GAGGCUCAGGGGGAAACCCACGGCGGCUCAUCGCGGCGAAUCCGGGUCAUACGUGGCCGUUGACUCCCAGUCGUGAUUGUCCUUGUUUCCGGGUGGUGGCCACCCCCUUCUUCCUCUUUUCUUGUUUUUUUUUCUUUCUUUCAGCAGAUUCUUUUACGGAUUCGCCUCAGGACUUGAAGUAAACAGCUGCGGUUUGAUGGAUGUAUGUACAUCUCUGUCUUCGGUUUAACAUGGAGGCGACUCUCAAUUGACAACGGGAACUCGGCGGUUUGACUGCAGCUUGGGCGUUUUGCGUGUGCAUGUGAAAACAUCCCUUGUGUCGGUCACGUAGUAAUUAAGGACAGUAAAACUGAGCCUAAACCGAGCUCUCUCAGCGAAUUAGCGUUUUUGGCCGUCCGUUUCACGAUGAUCUUUACUGGCCGUCAGAUUUCAUGUCCAAAGCGAUCUGCCCCGUAAUCUGGGUAAUCUGGCCCGGCUGUCCUCUGGGUUGCUGCUCCAGAGGCCGAAACGAAGGGCUCUCGUGGAUUGGGCCGUCGGGCAGCCCAUUAUACCGCCUGGGCUUCGAGCGACUGCGUACAACUGACGGUGCGAGGAGAUGCUUAAAAAAACUGCCCACGGCCUCUCGUCUCUCUCAAUCAAUUACCACCCCCGAUCUCUCCUCUCUCUCUCCCUCGCACACGAACAGGUUGCGCCGCCACCGUCGUCGUUUCGUUUGGCUCCCACCUCCUCAUGGCGCAGUCCAUGCCCACCCCGUUGGAAUGUCGCCUCCGUCUCCGUUUAGCCGUCGAUGUCCUCCAUCUCUUGUCUUCCGUCUGAAAGGCCAACAGAGAGCAUCUAUUUCUGGGGGCGGCCACGAGAUCCAUCACCAGAUCGGUGGCGCACCGCACCCCUCAAGCAUGUAUCCAAUUUUUAUCUGGAGUCCUUGGGCGGGCCGCUGCCAGAUCUGCCACGCUCGUGUACACUAUAGCGAUGCAGCGGUGAGCAACAGAAGCAACAGAGAGUUUCGGGCACCGCUGGCGAUGUCGUCGUCAUGGAACAUGUUGGGGCUGGAGGUGAUCUACUAGGUCAUCGAUUAGGUGGACCGCCUUCUUCGCCCGGUCGUUCAGCAUCUACCUGCAGGUCAUCCUCAACUACAAGUGCAAGAGCUGGAAAUUGUAGGAAUUGCCUUGAUUGCUUUCCUCCUAUGGCAAGAUAAUGGCCCUGUUUACAGGAGGGUGGCAUGUAUGGAAAGUAUCGGGAAAACAAAAGGUAUUUAGUACCGAGUAAAAUGAACAUUGGCAUAUAGUAGAAAAUGUGGUGUAUAUACGCACUGCAGUUGGUUGUGGUGCUUAUAAACUAUUUAAUUUAUGCUCUGUUGUCCAUCUUAUCAUGAUUGUUGUAUAUCAAUUCCUGCACUUAUGGCUAAAUAAAAAUCAUGACUGGAAAGAAGACUCAAGGAAUAAGAACAGACCAUUAGGAUAUUUGGAUCAGAUCAAAACCAAAAAAUCGUCACAAAACCGAAGAUAUUUGGAUCAGACCAUUAAGAGUUUUGGUGGUUUCCACAACUGUAUGAAAAAUUGGAAUUUAAAUUUUGGACCCAUCAAGAUUUGUACUUGUGGCAGUAUGGUCUGAUUGUGUUUAUUUUAGUAACCACAUCGUCCACAACACGGCUUUUCAUAGGUAUUGCUUUCCCUUGCCCAUUCCGAUAAUUAAUUAAGCUUUAUCCUAAAAGCCAAUUUUAUCAUUCAACCCUUAAGAAAUGUGUUAUGCACAGAGACGUGGCCUUCAAGUGUGAAGUCAGAUACAAACUAACACAUGUUGAUGCAGUUGUUACCACAUAUACACUCUUAGUUAUUUUCCUAUCUGACCAAAUGAUAUCUACUCUUUGUCCAGUUCUUGCAAAAAGGAAUGGAUUAUUGAAUGUUUGCCACUCCAUGGUAUGCUUGAUUGUUGUGUGCUUUUUUGAGCAAAUUGGAUAAUUUGUGGAAAAUCUGAAUUUUAUAUGACGGUCUGAACUUUCUUUUUGCAUGAUUGUUGAUAAAUUAUUUUAUCUGAGAUUUGCUAAGCCAAAUUUAGGUGAGCAUAGCAUUCCAGCACAUCAAGACAAAUGUAUAUUGUAGUAUUUCCAAAUUAUCGAUAUGGGAGGUGACAAGAGUAGUGUUGUUAAGGGUGUUUUGUUCCCACUACGAUUUGUGUUUCUGUUCUUAGACUUUUUGCAUGUUUUGUAACGGUAUUACAAAGCUUUCAUCAAGGUCAAUGCACACAGAGGUGACGCUGGAGCUGUCUUGCUCGAGGUUAAUUUUAUCCUACUUCGGCUCCAUUGCGCAAAGAUGAACAACAACCCAAGAAAAUUCGGUGCAAAAGACAAUAAAAGUAAUAAGUUAUCACCACUAUGAGCCCCCCUUUGGUUAAAGAUAACUUUACAUAACAACGUUGCAUGAUAAUUUGGGGUUUAAUCCUAAGAUACUCAUUUUUUAUGUGAUAUAAAGUGUUUCAUCGUCCCUUUAGCCUAAUAACACACUAUCUCACUGAAGGUUUCUUCUGUGCUUUCUAAUUAAUGGAGUGACUGUCGAGAUUUGAAUAGCGAAUGUUUUCAAUGUUUGAACGCCACAAUCUCCGUGGAAGGCAUACAUAUAGAACAAUUGUUUUAUUUUAUUAAGCUGAAGCAUGUCAAAUAUUAUUUAGUUACUUUGAUGGAAAAAAAACAUUGUAUUCACUUAGUACUCAACAUAACAGAAAUUAUGUUGAACUUCCUAUCAUUGAAACAUGAGAUUUUCCACUGAAAGUUUAUUUAUGUGUCCUACAACAACUUUCAUUAGCAUCUAAUCCUCCAUCCUAUCUUUUUGUUCUGUUAUUCGUUGAGGAGUUCUGUGGGGGUCGUUAGUCUAUUGGAGAAUGUGGGAGAGAGAGAGAGAGAGCAAGGCUGUUCUUCUUAAGUUGCUUGCACGUUUGUAGGUUAGCCCCAUAUCUUUGUACAAGUUAAUCCGUGCUCUCUCACAUCAACUUCUUUUUGUUUGAUGGAUAAAUCUUCAUUCAUUAAACAGCUCUUUAUGAACUAACAAACAUAUAAUCUUGUAGGUACCUUCAUGGCACGAGAUGGACAAUUUCAAUCCACCCUUUAUUCCAAAUUGUCUUACUGAUUCAUGCUAAGCAACUAUGAAAACUUCUGGAUGACCCUUUUUUAUAUAUUGUGUUUGAUGUAUCUACAUUUCAGAAACCUAGAUCAUGAAUGUGGAUGGAAGCAAAUCGCUUAAAUUGCAAAAUAAAGAAUGCAUUAUACAAA